GAAGCGACCUCGCGAGAGCAAGCGGACCUCAUAAAGUAUGUCGUAGUCCGGAUUGGAGUCUGCAACUCGACUCCAUGAAGUCGGAAUCGCUAGUAAUCGUGGAUCAGAAUGCCACGGUGAAUACGUUCCCGGGCCUUGUACACACCGCCCGUCACACCAUGGGAGUGGGUUGCAAAAGAAGUAGGUAGCUUAACCUUCGGGAGGGCGCUUACCACUUUGUGAUUCAUGACUGGGGUGAAGUCGUAACAAGGUAACCGUAGGGGAACCUGCGGUUGGAUCACCUCCUUACCUUAAAGAA
rnacentral:rRNA from 2 species